UAGUAUUCCUUUCGGGGGAUAUGAGAGUGGCGAACGGGUGAGUAACGCGUAGGUGAUCUGCCUUCAGGCGGGGGACAACCCGGGGAAACCCGGGCUAAUACCGCAUGUGACCGCAAGGUUAAAGCCGGCCUCUGUUUACAAGUUGGUGCCUGGAGAUGAGCCUGCGUCUGAUUAGCUAGAAGGUUUUUUCUUCUCCUACGUGUUGAUGAUAGGUAGGCGGCUUUAACGAGUGCCNCCCACUCCCAUCGGUUCACAGUAUGACUCCUCUCNAAUCGAUAGAGAU
rnacentral:misc_RNA from 1 species